rnacentral:pre_miRNA from 7 species
UUUCAGGGUUCCUGGGUGUCACGCAGAUCUCGCUGGGGCCUCCAAAUGAUAGAACUUAGUGGGGAAACCCACACUCUGUUCCCGAUUCGGUUCAUGUGUAUGCAUAUGUAAAUGAAAGAGCU